rnacentral:rRNA from 1 species
AUAUUGCACAAUGGAGGAAACUCUGAUGCAGCGACGCCGCGUGAGCGAUGAAGGUUUUCGAGUCGUAAAGCUAUGUCCUAGGGGACGAAAAUGACGGUACCCCAGGAGGAAGCCCCGGCUAACAACGUGCCAGCAGCCGCGGUAAUACGUAGGGGGCGAGUGUUGUCCGGAAUUAUUUGGCGUAAAGGGUUCGUAGGCGGUUUUUUAAGUCAGAUGUGAAAGAUCACGGCUCAACCGUGGUAAGCAUUUGAAACUGAAAGACUUGAGUUAAGGAGAGGAAAGUGGAAUUCCUAGUGUAGCGGUGAAAUGCGUAGAUAUUAGGAGGAAUACCAGUGGCGAAGGCGACUUUCUGGACUUAUACUGACGCUGAGGAACGAAAGCGUGGGGAGCAAACA